GGCUUUAUAGUCAAUAUAUGAUUUUAAAUUGCAAAUUUAAAGGAGGUAAAGUUAUACCUAAGGCUU
rnacentral:tRNA from 1 species